CAGCAGCCACGGGAAUACAGAGGGUGCGAGCGUUAAUCGGAUUUACUGGGCGUAAAGCGUGCUUAGGCGGCUUUUUAAGUCGGAUGUGAAAUCCCUGAGCUUAACUUAGGAAUUGCAUUCGAUACUGGGAAGCUAGAGUAUGGGAGAGGAUGGUAGAAUUCCAGGUGUAGCGGUGAAAUGCGUAGAGAUCUGUAGGAAUACCGAUGGCGAAGGCAGCCAUCUGGCCUAAUACUGACGCUGAGGUACGAAAGCAUGGGGAGCAAACAGGAUUAGAUACCCCCGUAGUCCCUGUCUCUUAUAC
rnacentral:rRNA from 1 species